GGGUCUGUAGCUCAACGGCAGAGCACUCGGCUCAUAACCGAAGGGUUCAAGGUUCGAAUCCUUGCAGACCCA
rnacentral:tRNA from 1 species